ACGGGCGUCACUGUUCUUCUUCUCCAAACAACCGAUCCAUUCCCAAAAAUCGCCAAAAUUCAGGCGAGUGAAAUCCAAACUCGCAUCACACGUCUCCCCCUUCUCUCCUCCUGCCACAAGUGUAACGGUUUCUGACACCAAAGAUUCCCCUCCCCCUCACUCGCUCGAAUUUGAGAUAUAGCACGCGAUUGGAAGGUUCUGGGAACGAUCGUUGGAUGAGUGUGAGGCGUUGGAUUGAUUUCAUUUAAUCCGAGCCCCACAUUCAUCAGAGGCUCGUUUUCAAAAGGGACCUCAUCCGAUUUUGAGGGCAGAGAAUAUUGGGGAUGAUUCGGGGGGACUUUUGGAGAAUAUUUUGGGAAAGGAUUUGAGAGAGAUUUCUUCUUUUGAUUGUUCUUUUAUUUCUGGUACGAGAACAGAAGAAAAAAAAAUCACUGAGUGUUCUGCUAUGUCAUUUCUAUGUCGAUUAUUGUUUAAAGUUUUUUCGAAAUCUCUAGAGUCCAUCUUCUUCAUUUCAAUUCUGGAUUUUGGUUUAAAAAUGGAAGUCAUUUGAGAGGUUCGAGUCUGUUGCUGCUCGAGGAUUGAUUUUCAGCUGCUAUUUGCUUCCUUUUGGUCGAUUUCAGCGUUGUAUUAAUUCAGUCUCUUAAUUCCAGGAUCUGAGGCAGGUGCAUCUAGCUACCCGUCUGCCGCACAUUCCUUAUAUUUGAGCGAGAUUUCACAGUGAGCUGCCCCCUUCUGAGCCGUUCAGCAGCAUGCUGGAGUCUCUCCUUUUGUUAUUACUGUCUAUUCUAUUUCAGGCAGUAGGAUAUUUAUAUUUUUGUACAUUCUACUAGUUUUCCUCGUACUUGUGACACUAGAUCCUGGCACACGCAUUAGUAGACUAUCAUCAUUGGGUUGUAUUCCUAAAAUUAUGAUUUCCUUUAGUCAUUCCCGUUCAGUU